rnacentral:tRNA from 1 species
GUUUCAGUAGCUCAGCAGGUAGAGCACCUCCCUUUUAAGGAGGGGGUCCUGGGUUCGAGUCCCAGCUGGAACA